rnacentral:rRNA from 1 species
UACGUAGGCAGCAAGCGUUGUUCGGAAUUACUGGGCGUAAAGAGCGUGUAGGCGGUGCUCUAAGUUCGGUGUGAAAUCCCCCGGCUUAACUGGGAGGGUGCGCCGGAAACUGGAGUGCUCGAGCGCGGGAGAGGAAAGCGGAAUUCCUGGUGUAGCGGUGAAAUGCGUAGAUAUCAGGAGGAACACCUGUGGUGUAGACGGCUUUCUGGACCGUAGCUGACGCUGAGACACGAAAGCGUGGGUAGCAAACAGG